CGACCUGAGCGAAGUCAGACGCUUAACUGACUGAGCCUCCCAGGCACCCCUCACAAUGGCUUUUUUAGUAUAUUGGACAGGUGGGUGGAUGGAUGGAUAAUAAAAGGGCAGUCCCUAACUUACAUCACUCUACAAGCCACUGCGUUAUAGGAUGUCAUGUCACUAAGAGAAUAACCAAAUCACCCUCAUUCACUCAUGCCCAUUCUCACACUUCUUUCCAAGAUCAGCAGUAACUGAGAGUGGGAGAGGAACAGAUUCUUGAUCAUUUUCAUCUGAAGCCAAAAUAAAAAUAGCCCCAAGGUCAGUAGAAAAAUUACGUGGCUUCACAAAACAACACAUUAGAAAAAAAUACCACUGGGAGUUUCAGACACUGGAAAGUAUUUUUUAAAAAGACAUUUCUUCCAGGUUUCCUGUUUACUGAAGAAGAAGAAGAAGAAGAAGAAGAAGAAGAAGAAGAAGAAGAAGAAAAGAGAAAAGAAAAGAAAAGAAAAGAAAAGAAAAGAAAAGAAAAGAAAAGAAAAGGUAUUUGAAUUAUUUUCACCGUGUUUCAAAUCUCCGCUUCUUAUCUUGGCCUUACUAUAUUUUUAUUUGUAUAUUUAGGGAGAUCUUAGCAGGAGCAAAUUUGUUAUUCUAAAGCAGUCUACAGAUGUACACUCACACAGCAUAGCGAAAUCACAAUUUUAUGCAGGUUUUUUUUUCUUCUGUCUUAGAGUUUGCAGUUCUUAAAGGAAAAUGUGGAAGCAGUCACAACUGCUAUUAGAGAAGUCCAAGGAAAAGGAGCACAACAUGAUUCUUUCUCCCAUCAUCACAUCAUGUCAGCAGCUCGUUGAGUUUGUAGUGGACAAUCCCACUGGAGCUUUCCAAACAAUUACAGAAAAUGAAUAUAUAUGUUGUUUAAAAAGCAUAUCUGAAUGACAAAGAAUGAAGUCUGGCAUAUGUAACAAGAAAUGAGCACAUCUUCUAAAUGGGCUCGAUGGUAUGGUAUAAGUUCCAUUCUCUCACAAAGUAAUAUAACGGAUUGCUCUUUAAAUUAAGUGAAUUUGUAUGUCCGCUUUCUCUUAAUGGAAUCAGUUUUGAUAUACUCUUUGUUCGCGCUGUUACGAGCUUCAGUCUAAGGGUUCUUUGUAUUAACUUUUUAAAGUUACAUUACAAAGAGGUUUUAAGAUUUCCCAACAGGCUUCUAUUUAACCAAAGCUUUUGAUCUCAAACCUGCUGGGACCUAGUGAAAUCCUUACCAAUUCUCCAGUAACUCCUCACUAUUGGAAUUUGAAAAGACCCACCUGAAGGAUUGAACUCCCGGUAUGGUUUCAGCCAUCCUUUAGAUCACUCUAUUUAAGCAGACAGCAAGGGGGUCCAGUGCACCCUUUGUGAUCUGCUAAGCAGCCUAAGGUGUCCUUUGCAUAAGUUGUACUCCUAAGGAAAUAAAAAAUCAGGAGGACACAGACCUAUAUUCCUUAUUUCCUGCUAUCUUCAGUUAAAAGGGGAUUGCAGGGGGUCUGCUUAACAUCUUUUGCUACCUAAAUACCUUUUGGACAUGGGAAGUCAAUAAAAGAACUUCCAUUGCAUCCAUUACCCUACUGCAGUGCAUAACAAAUUAGAUUUGAAAGGCUACUUUUUCCCCCUUACAGCUAUUUCCAUCAUUUUCUUUAAAAUUUCAAUUUAGUGUCGAGUGAGAGAAUAUUCUAUAAUAUACUUUAAAACUCUAUAAUGCCAAUUAUGCUAGCAGAGUGUUAUUUCCAAAGAAUUAGGCUUUAUUAUUGUAGACAAAUUAUAGUUUAAGAGACCGGGUAGAGAAUUGAUUAUGUUUAAAAUCUGUUAAAUAUGAAACUAGAUAAAGUAAGCAUUGUUUUUGAGUAACUCUUCUUUAAAUAUACAUGUGCAUUCGUUUUUAUUUGGCCCCCAAUUCCCAUUUUUAGAAAGGAAAAUUCAACUGCAUUCAAAGUUCGAAUGCAUUCAAAAAAUUCGAAAAUUCAACUGCCUUCAAAGUAUCAG